rnacentral:rRNA from 1 species
CUACGGGGGGCUCCAGUGGGGAAUAUUGCACAAUGGAGGAAACUCUGAUGCAGCAACGCCGCGUGGAGGAUGACACUUUUCGGAGCGUAAACUCCUUUUAUAUAGGAAGAAGAUGACGGUACUAUAUGAAUAAGCGCCGGCUAACUCCGUGCCAGCAGCCGCGGUAAUACGGAGGGCGCAAGCGUUACUCGGAAUCACUGGGCGUAAAGAGCGUGUAGGCGGAUUAAAAAGUCAGAAGUGAAAUCCUAUAGCUUAACCAUAGAACUGCUUCUGAAACUCUUAAUCUAGAAUAUGGGAGAGGUAGAUGGGAUUUCUGGUGUAGGGGUAAAAUCCGUAGAGAUCAGAAGGAAUACCGAUUGCGAAGGCGAUCUACUAGAACAUUAUUGACGCUGAGACGCGAAAGCGUGGGGAGCAAACAGGAUUAGAUACCCCUGUAGUC